CAAUAGCGUAUAUUUAAGUUGUUGCAGUUAAAAAGCUCGUAGUUGGAUUUCGGUUAAGAGCGACCGGUCCGCCGUUUGGUGUGCACUGGUUGGUUUUAGCUUCCUGUAGAGGACGUGCUCUGGGUUUAACGACCUGGACUCGGAGUCUACGUGGUUACUUUGAAAAAAUUAGAGUGUUCAAAGCGGGCUUACGCUUGAAUAUUUCAGCAUGGAAUAACACUAUAGGACUCCUGUCCUAUUUCGUUGGUCUCGGGACGGGAGUAAUGAUUAAGAGGAACAGUUGGGGGCAUUCGUAUUUCAUUGUCAGAGGUGAAAUUCUUGGAUUUAUGAAAGACGAACUUCUGCGAAAGCAUUUGCCAAGGAUGUUUNCAUUA
rnacentral:rRNA from 1 species